AGGGUUGAGGUAUCAACAGCUGGAAGAACUGAGAUUGAGAAAUGCUCGAAAACUCCAUCAGAACAGUUUAUCAUUCCGACUGAAGCAAAGGAGAUAACAGACAUUCCUAACAUUGUACCAGAGGAGGCGAUUAUUGAGGAGCAGAUAGUGGAGUUCAGUGUCACCAUAGCAGACUCUGGCUACAGUGAACUUGUUCUGAGUGACCCUGCAGCUCCCCAGUACCAUGACAUCACACAAGAUCUCCAU